rnacentral:rRNA from 1 species
UACGUAGGGGGCAAGCGUUGUCCGGAUUUAUUGGGCGUAAAGAGCGUGUAGGCGGCCAGGUAGGUCAGCUGUGAAAACUCGAGGCUCAACCUCGAGAUGUCGGCGGAAACCACUUGGCUAGAGUCCGGAAGAGGAGAGUGGAAUUCCCGGUGUAGCGGUGAAAUGCGCAGAUAUCGGGAAGAACACCUAUGGCGAAGGCAGCUCUCUGGGACGGUACUGACGCUGAGACGCGAAAGCGUGGGGAGCGAACAGG